rfam:Capsicum annuum cultivar Zunla-1 chromosome 1, whole genome shotgun sequence
UAAUGGUGGUGUGGAAAUCAUAGAGCAUGGACUUGAACCUUUCCUAAGCUUGGUGUAAAUUCUCACCAUCUUUCUACUAGAAACUAAACAUUUCACUCCUCAGCCA